UUUCAAACUAAAUUUUAUUUUUGAAAUAAUUAUAAAAUUUUUUACUCUUAGGUUGGUAGAUGGCGAAGCUGGUUAUGGAAUACUAUAGAAUAUCCAUGGACCAGUAAUUUGGCUCAAUGUUUUGCUCUGUUUUCUCUGAGUAUGGUUUUAAUCUCGACAGUUACGUUUAUCAUUUCAACAUUGGAAGAAUUACAGGAGAACGAGGUUGGUGUGAUAGAAUAUCCUGAGAUAGCGAGGAUUAUAGAUUGGAUUGAUAACUUUGUAGUGGUUUUCUUCUCAUUGGAAUAUAUCGUCAGACUACUCUGCAGCCCCAAGAAGAUUCAGUUUAUAGGAGAGCAAUGAACAUGAUUGAUCUUGUGGCGAUUAUACCCUUCUAUCUUAACAUUCUUCUAGAGGGUUUAGAGGACUUUGAGAUUAUAGGAAAAACUGGAAAAAUCAUCAGACUUAUUCGAGUUAUGAGAAUUCUCAGG